UAGCAUAUCACUAAGCGGAGGAAAAGAAACUAACUAGGAUUCCCCCAGUAACUGCGAGUGAAGAGGGAAGAGCUCAUCAUUGGAAUCUGGCAGCGUUGCGCUGUCCGAGUUGUAGAUGAGAAGAGUAGGCCAUCUGGGCUGCAUGGUGUCCAAGUACAAUAGGCCGUCAGUGGGACAUCAUAGAGGGUGACAAUCCCGUCCUUGACACCAAUGUACGAGUCCUUUACGAUGCCUAUCUCGGAGAGUCGAGCAGUUUGGGAUUUGCUGCUUAAACAUGGGAGGUAGAUUCCUUCCAAAGCUAAAUACAGGCAAGAGACCGAUAGAGAACAAGUACCGCAAGGGAAAGAUGAAAUAGAACUCUGUGAAGGGAGUCAAAAGACGUGAAAUUGUUGCGAGAGAAGCGAUUCAAGUCAGCGUAGCUGGGCCCAUCAAGCCUCGCGCUUUGGACCAGCUUUGCCAGCGGUCUUGUCCCUAGAGACUUGACUAAGGUGCCCUGCCCGGUCUAACGGGCAGACCUCCCCUGGAGGCCAGUGGCAUGGCUGGUGGAAUGGCUUGCAAUCGACCCGUCUUGAAACACGGACCAAGGAGUCUAACAUGCAUGCGAGUAUAAGGGUGGCAAACCCGUAUGCGCAAAGAAAGUGAUAGCCUUUUAUGGCCGAGAAUGACCUGAUGACCAGACAAGCAAUAUUAUGUCCCUCGUACGGUCAUUGCCCAAGUCCCAUGGUCAGAUCCCAUGGACAUGGAGUUGGAGCGUGCAUGCUAGGACCCGAAAGAUGGUGAACUAUGCCUGGACAAAGCGAAGCCAAAGGAAACUCUGGUGGAGGCUUGUAGCGAUUCUGACGUGCAAAUCGAUCGUCUGAUCUGGGUAUAGGGGCGAAAGACUAAUCGAACCAUCUCAUAGCUGGUUCCUGCA
rnacentral:rRNA from 1 species